rnacentral:misc_RNA from 1 species
GAUGAAGAACGCAGCGAAAUGCGAUAAGUAGUGUGAAUUGCAGAAUUCAGUGAAUCAUCGAAUCUUUGGACGCACAUUGCGCCCCUUGGUAUUCCAUGGGGCAUGCCUGUUCGAGCGUCAUUUGUACCUUCAAGCUCUGCUUGGUGUUGGGUGUUUGUCUCGCCUCUGCGUGUAGACUCGCCUCAAAACAAUUGGCAGCCGGCGUAUUGAUUUCGGAGCGCAGUACAUCUCGCGCUUUGCACUCAUAACGACGACGUCCAAAAGUACAUUUUUACACUCUUGACCUCGGAUCAGGUAGGGAUACCCGCUGAACUUAAGCAUAUCAAUAAGCGGAGGA